rnacentral:piRNA from 1 species
UGACCAGAGCAGGCCUCUCUGCAGGACA